AGAACGAACGCUGGCGGCAUGCCUAACACAUGCAAGUCGAACGAGACCUUCGGGUCUAGUGGCGCACGGGUGCGUAACGCGUGGGAAUCUGCCCUUGGGUUCGGAAUAACAGUUAGAAAUGACUGCUAAUACCGGAUGAUGUCUUCGGACCAAAGAUUUAUCGCCCAAGGAUGAGCCCGCGUAAGAUUAGCUAGUUGGUGAGGUAAUGGCUCACCAAGGCGACGAUCUUUAGCUGGUCUGAGAGGAUGAUCAGCCACACUGGGACUGAGACACGGCCCAGACUCCUACGGGAGGCAGCAGUGGGGAAUAUUGGACAAUGGGCGAAAGCCUGAUCCAGCAAUGCCGCGUGAGUGAUGAAGGCCUUAGGGUUGUAAAGCUCUUUACCAGGGAUGAUAAUGACAGUACCUGGAGAAUAAGCUCCGGCUAACUCCGCGCCAGCAGCCGC
rnacentral:rRNA from 1 species